rnacentral:lncRNA from 1 species
CAUGGCCAUGGGCUUAAGGACUCGAUCUUUCGAUCAUCAUGGGACUACUCCUCUCAUCUACCGAGGUUGAUAAAUCUCAUCUUUGUACGACCUAGUACCUACAAUGAAUAUGCUACAGCCAAUAUACACCUCAGGAUUCUGAAUGGCUAGGAGAUCGAGUUAUGGUGUAGUCAAACUAUAAUACACUCAAAGUGAACUGUCGAUGCAC